rnacentral:rRNA from 1 species
UUGAACGCUGGCGGCAUGCCUUACACAUGCAAGUCGAACGGUAGAGUAGCGAUACUCGAGAGUGGCGAACGGGUGAGUAAUAUAUCGGAACGUGCCUAUUUGUGGGGGAUAACGUAGCGAAAGUUACGCUAAUACCGCAUACGCCCUGAGGGGGAAAGCGGGGGAUUCGUAAGAACCUCGCGCAAUUAGAGCGGCCGAUGUCGGAUUAGCUAGUUGGUGGGGUAAAGGCUCACCAAGGCGACGAUCCGUAGCGGGUCUGAGAGGAUGAUCCGCCACACUGGGACUGAGACACGGCCCAGACUCCUACGGGAGGCAGCAGUGGGGAAUUUUGGACAAUGGGCGAAAGCCUGAUCCAGCCAUGCCGCGUGAGUGAAGAAGGCCUUCGGGUUGUAAAGCUCUUUCAGCCGGAAAGAAAUCGCGCAGGCUAAUACUCUGCGUGGAUGACGGUACCGGAAGAAGAAGCACCGGCUAACUACGU